UCUCUCGCCUUCUCUUGGUUGAAGGAAAGUGCUUCUGAAUUAGCGACAAAAAGACGCCUCUGAAAGUGAGAUGCAGAGUUUGUUUUCACUGGGAGACACCGAGGGGUUGAGUUCCAUGUCACCUCCCGGGUCCGCGCCUCACCUGUGGACUGCAGCCCGAUGACCACACACUGCGGAGGCUGCCAGACCCCAACAAGCCCACAUCCCCUGGGACAUUAACCUGGCACCAAUGGCUGGCCUCAGCUCCCAGACAACCCCGUUCUCCACACAA